rnacentral:rRNA from 1 species
UACGAAGGGGGCUAGCGUUGCUCGGAAUUACUGGGCGUAAAGGGAGCGUAGGCGGACAUUUAAGUCAGGGGUGAAAUCCCAGAGCUCAACUCUGGAACUGCCUUUGAUACUGGGUGUCUUGAGUGUGAGAGAGGUAUGUAGAACUCCGAGUGUAGAGGUGAAAUUCGUAGAUAUUCGGAAGAACACCAGUGGCGAAGGCGACAUACUGGCUCAUUACUGACGCUGAGGCUCGAAAGCGUGGGGAGCAAACAGG